rnacentral:rRNA from 1 species
CAGUGGGGAAUAUUGGGCAAUGGGGGCAACCCUGACCCAGCGACGCCGCGUGGGGGAAGACGGCCUUCGGGUUGUAAACCUCUUUUGUACGGGAAGAAGGAAGUGACGGUACUGUACGAAUAAGUCCCGGCUAACUACGUG